AUUGAACGCUGGCGGCAGGCCUAACACAUGCAAGUCGAGCGGAUGAAGGGAGCUUGCUCCUGGAUUCAGCGGCGGACGGGUGAGUAAUGCCUAGGAAUCUGCCUGGUAGUGGGGGAUAACGUCCGGAAACGGGCGCUAAUACCGCAUACGUCCUGAGGGAGAAAGUGGGGGAUCUUCGGACCUCACGCUAUCAGAUGAGCCUAGGUCGGAUUAGCUAGUUGGUGGGGUAAAGGCCUACCAAGGCGACGAUCCGUAACUGGUCUGAGAGGAUGAUCAGUCACACUGGAACUGGGACACGGUCCAGACGCCUACGGGAGGCAGCAGUAGGGAAUAUUGGACAAUGGGCGAAAGCCUGAUCCAGCCAUGCCGCGUGUGUGAAGAAGGUCUUCGGAUUGUAAAGCACUUUAAGUUGGGAGGAAGGGCAGUAAGUUAAUACCUUGCUGUUUUGACGUUACCAACAGAAUAAGCACCGGCUAACUUCGUG
rnacentral:rRNA from 1 species